rnacentral:tRNA from 1 species
GGGGGUGUAGCAUAGCGGCUAAUGCGCCUGAUUGUCGAUCAGGUCAUCGCGGGUUCGAGUCCCGUCAUUCCCG